rnacentral:sRNA from 2 species
CAACGGCUAACCUAGGAACCUUCCAUUAUAUAAUGUCAUAGGCUAUCAUAAGAUCUGUUCUGGUGAAGAGGUUGAGCUCACCGCUGAACACCAGGCACGUUGCCAAUGACUCAAUUGGGAUUUGCUCGAAAUGCAGUGAAUGUUGCAACGUCUUACCUCGCUGACAAUAGCCGGUUUCCGCCGGGGUGGCGACUGCGAAGAUGAUGAAUCCGAAAGAGACCCCGUGAGCCCUCACUGUUGAGAUAUCAUACGAAGACCAGAGUGUGGAUGAGGGCUUGAAGACCGCGACAGAGCAUUGAACCAGCAGGAUUCAAGGAAACUCUGCCCUGCUGAUAAUAAUAACUAUACAGCAGACGCUGAUUAAGAAUCGGAUUUGGAUGCAUCAUCACUGGCAAUGUCCAACACAGCAUUGGCCCUUUUGUGACUAUGAUAUUGAUAUUCACCAUAUGGUAACCUGCCUACACUACAAAUAUGAUCAGAAGCUCGUUCCACCCUGAAACUUUACAACGAUAUUCUAG